GCUCUCCUCCUUCCCGCUCGGUCCGCCGGUUCGCUCAGUUCUAGCUUCAGGUUCCACGCCGCGGCCUCGCUCUCCUACUAGAGCCAGCCCAGCAGUCGCAGCGCGCACACGCACGCCCCGCGUCUCCCGCGCCCGGCGCCCGGCUCUCCCCACGCGCGCACACCUCGCGCACGGACGCACCCACGUUUGUCCUCGCGCGCCGGGGGCUCGGCGGCGGCGGCAGGGGCAGCGGCAGAAGCAGGCAGACCGCGCGGGGCAGUACCGUAGCGGCCGUCACGGGCUGGCCGGCCAGCCAUGGAGGCUGAUGGGGCCGGCGAGCAGAUGAGACCGCUACUCACCCGGGGUCCUGAUGAAGAAGCUGUUGUGGAUCUUGGCAAAACUAGCUCAACUGUGAACACCAAGUUUGAAAAAGAAGAACUAGAAAGUCAUAGAGCUGUAUAUAUUGGUGUUCACGUCCCGUUUAGUAAAGAGAGUCGUCGGCGUCAUAGGCAUCGCGGACACAAACAUCACCACCGGAGAAGAAAAGAUAAAGAAUCAGAUAAAGAAGAUGGACGGGAAUCUCCUUCUUAUGAUACACCAUCCCAGAGAGUUCAGUUUAUCCUUGGUACUGAAGAUGAUGAUGAAGAACAUAUUCCCCAUGAUCUCUUCACGGAAAUGGAUGAACUGUGUUACAGAGAUGGAGAAGAAUAUGAAUGGAAAGAAACUGCUAGAUGGCUGAAAUUUGAAGAGGAUGUUGAAGAUGGCGGUGACCGAUGGAGUAAACCUUAUGUGGCAACUCUCUCUUUGCACAGUCUUUUUGAACUAAGGAGUUGCAUCCUCAAUGGAACAGUCAUGCUGGAUAUGAGAGCAAGCACUCUAGAUGAAAUAGCAGAUAUGGUAUUAGACAACAUGGUAGCUUCUGGCCAAUUAGACGAGUCCAUACGAGAGAAUGUCAGAGAAGCUCUUCUGAAGAGACAUCAUCAUCAGAAUGAGAAAAGAUUCACCAGUCGGAUUCCUCUUGUUCGAUCUUUUGCAGAUAUAGGCAAGAAACAUUCUGACCCUCACUUGCUUGAAAGGAAUGGUAUUUUGGCCUCUCCCCAGUCUGCUCCUGGAAACUUGGACAAUAGUAAAAGUGGAGAAAUUAAAGGUAAUGGAAGUGGUGGAAGCAGAGAAAAUAGUACUGUUGACUUCAGCAAGGUAAUUCUAUCAUUAACUGAAAAUUCUCAUAAUUAUUCUUACUGAGGAAAUAAGUAGUAAUUUGUGGCUAAUGUUAUUAACAUUGAUGAUAGUAAUUUUUUAGUAGACUGGUGCUUACAAACCUGCAUGUGAUGUCUGUGAUGUUAAUUUAAGGUAAAAACUGUGAGAAGGGUUACAGUUAACCUGUGAGUACUUGAAUAACUUUACACCAUUACUAGUGUUAGAAAUUCUGAAAAAGAAUAUGUGAAUAAUACGAUAUUUCCAUCCAUACCUACCCAUAGAUACUGUGAAACGUCAGUACUUUUUGAACUACAGUCAUUUGUUCUGGAGCUACCACCACUAGAACGUUAAUUCUGGGAGUGAUGUUACAGCACUAAUGAUUCAGUCUUUCCUG
rnacentral:sRNA from 1 species